UACAGAGGUCCCAAGCGUUGUUCGGAUUUACUGGGCGUAAAGGGCGCGUAGGCGGCCACCGCAAGUCGGUUGUGAAAUCUCUGGGCUUAACCCAGAAAGGUCAACCGAUACUGCGGGGCUAGGGUGCAGAAGGGGCAACUGGAAUUCUCGGUGUAGCGGUGAAAUGCGUAGAUAUCGAGAGGAACACCUGCGGCGAAGGCGGGUUGCUAGGCUGACACUGACGCUGAAGCGCGAAAGCUAGGGGAGCGAACGGG
rnacentral:rRNA from 1 species